rnacentral:lncRNA from 1 species
GAAGUUGUUAGAAAGUGAUAUUUUUCAUUUUAAAUAUGUCUCUUUUGUUUGAUUUUUUCUGUGUUUGAUUAUAAAACCCCAUCUACUAACAUAUUAAAACAGUGUACAAAAUGUGAUGUUACAAGAACUUAUAUUCUACUCAUGUAGAGCUUUCUAAUAUUCCAUCUUUCCGAGGCAGAGGGACAUUAUUCUUGGUUUAAUUUUUUUUUAAUUUAUUAUCUCUGGAUAUUUUUCAUAUUUAGUUUGCGUACAACAGUUAACAACUUUAAGCUUAUACAUUAACUUUAGUUAUAACUUAAUUAUUAAUGAUUUGAUUUAUAGAUUUUUAAAGAAAUACAAGAUUGAAUUUAGCAUAAGGCUAAAUUUCUGCUCUGGAGACAAAAAAGGAAGACGGCGAAAAUGACCAGUCAAAAUAAGUAUUGAAGAGACAAUUGUGUAUAUCUUGGUGUAGAUGAUUUAUCCUCAUUUUUUUAUAAUAAAACAAAAAAUAUUAUUAAACUUUGGGAUUUACCUGUAACUCCAAAAUCUUUACAGAAGUUUAAUGUUUGCUCUGAGAAGUUGAAUGAACAAAAUUAUUAAAUGUCGUCAUUGAAGUACAACUUGGUAAACUACAAAACACAUCAAAUUCAGUUAUAAAAAUUUGAGUAACAUAGGUAUACUAAUUAUUGUAUUGCCUGAAAGAGUGUCAUUGCUAUUAAAAGCAGUGAAGAAUUCAAGUACUCUGGAAGAAAAGAAAAUACGUAAGUAAAUGGUUGUGUAUUUUUGCAGGUCAAUUAUUUGGCACAAAUCGGAGUUAAAGACAAAGGAGAUUGUAUAUUUUAUUUGCUAAGAAUAGUUUUUUAAAAUGGCCUAGUUGUAAAAUUAAACUAUGCAGGCAGAGGACAAAAUAUUAGAAUAGAAAAAAUGUUGAUUGCAUAUGCUGCUAUUGAAACUGUGAAGUCAAAUAAGCACGGCUUAUGCAGACAUGUGAUAGAUAUAGAGGGAAAAA